rnacentral:lncRNA from 12 species
GCCGCGGCCGGGAGGGCGCCUCUGACGUGCGCCGAGGGGCUGGCACCGGACCCAGCAGAGCUCUGAGCAUCGGAGGAGGCCAGGGUUUGGCUUGCUGCCUCCUGCCUCUCGUGCCCAUGCCCCCGUCGUCUCCUCCAUGCCCCUGUGAUUGGGGCGGCAGCGGGGGGGCGCCCCGGGGGUGGGGCGGACUUGGCAAACCGUGGGGACUCAGGCGAUGUCUGUGGCUUGAUGGAGGGCUCACCUCCCGCCACCUCCACCUGCCGGGAGCAGCUCCUGCUGUGUUCGCGGCCCCACGCCUGGCGCUCUGCGGACCAAGCCGUCACCAUGGGCAUUUCAGGGCACGUUCCUGGUCUCAUCCUUAUCACGGCUGGGUGGAAGGUGGAAGCUGGCAUCCUGUCGGUUCUAACAGGCACUUAUCGGGCACCCGCUGUGUACAGAGCAGUGUCCUGGGGAGGACGGGAACCCGCCAUGGUGUAGGAAGGCAGGGCCCGUCCAGAGCCCCACUGCUGCGGCGGGCCUGGGUCAGCACGAGAGCCCAGGUAGGUCUGUGCCGCAGGUUGCUAGGUCCGGUGCACAAAGUCCCACACACGGGUGGGGCCUGCACAGAAAUUUGUCGUCUCCGGGUCUGGGAGGCUGGAAGUCAGAAAGCAUGGUGUCUGCAGGGCCGUGCGGGAAGGACCCGUCCUGUGUCUCGCCCUAGCAUCUUCCUUCUGUGUGGGUCUUGGGUCUUGUCCGCAUCUCCUUUUCUUUUUAAAGGGCGCAAAGCCAUCUGAGAUUAAGGGUCCACCCUACUCUGCUGUAGGCUCACCCUAAUUAACUAAUUACAUCUGCAAUGACUCAGUUUCCAGAUAGGCUCACAUCCUGAGACGCUGGGGUUUAGAAGUUCAGUGUGUAAAUGGGGGCAGGUGGGGGGGGACACAUGAUUCAACUCAUAAGGGUGUGCAGGUGGCCUGGGAUUUCCACGGCGUGACCGCAGUGGGCCAGGCAGCCGUGGCCAUGGUGAGCAUCUCUGGCCACGGGGUGAGGUGUGCCAGGGGAGGUCAAGGCUGCCCCAAGCUGCCAGGGACACAGAGGGGGAGUUUCCCACAUCAGGACCAGGACCAGGGCUCCUUGAGGUUUAAUUCAGCUCAGGAUGGGGACCCAGACACUUGGCUCCUGUGUGUGCCUCCGGCAAGUCUGUCCCUGUGCACUCCGGCUGGAAGGCAGGUAGGUAUACAUGGUCGGGGCUGGGAGGAAGUCCCCGGCCUCUGCACCCCCUGGCUGGGUGACCUGGGCCAGUUGCUUUCCUCGCUGGGCCUCAGUCUACCUGACUGAAAGGGGACCCAUCUUACCUGUCCGGCUUUGUCACCAGCCUCUGGUGAGGCUUGAAGGAGAGGAUGGAUAGGGAGGUGCUUUGCUUUUGUUCAUUUUCAUUCGUUGACUCUGUAGGCUUUUAAUUAAGUGCAGCUCCUCGCUAGGCCCGGUGCUGUCACAGGGACACAGAGACGAGGUGGUCACCCUCCUGGCCCUCGAGGAGCUCCCAGGCCAUGGGUGGGGCAGGCGGGCAAAGGUCGAAGGCCUUCGACCGGGUCCAAGCUCUGCCUCCUGCAAAAGAUGUGAGUUCAGGCUGUUUACUUAAGCUUUCUGGGCCUUAGUCUUUUCGUCGGCAAAUUGGGAAUAAGAAUAGCAUCCGCCUUGUGUGGAAGCAGCAGCCGGGUGCACGUGAGGGUCUGGCACGUAGUAAAUACUCGGUAAACGUCCUUCUGAGUCAUCAGCUACAGGGACAGUGUGAUGAAGGGUGGUAGCGGGGGUCUGAGGGGCUCUGCGGAGAGUGCUGGGCUCUGGGCACUCAGCAGACGUUGCCCCCAGCGGGCCCCGUCAUCCUGCUGACCCUUUAGCUGUCUGCCACCCUGUGCUCGGAGUACGGGGUGGUGAGAGGGAUGUGGGGCAGGUGGGCCCCAAGGGAGAGCUUCCGGGCCUUCUGACAGUCAUUCUGAGGGUCUGGGGGUCUGAGCGGGUGGAGGGGGUGGCCCCUGGCGUGCCCUGCAGUCCUGGAAGGGGCACCGGGGUUCUUGGUACUUUCGUUAGCCUUUGUGUUCGGUCCACAGGUUUCGGGGAGAGAAGAUGGUGGGGAAGCCAAAUUAAAAUUCCUCUUUGAGAAGUGAACAACUUCCCAAUUAAAGGAUUCUUAUUUGCGAGAUGCCUUGGAGGCCUUUUCAAUCAAGAGGCUCUUCUGAGUAAGAGAAGGGCUUGAGCUGGGUUUGGAGAGGCGGGUGGAGCCUGAGCUCAGCCAGGAGAGGGUCUGGAUGCCGAAGAUGCCAAAGAUGCGGAAGAUGCUGGGAGCAGUGGCCCUGGGGGCGGGGGGGCGGUGCAUGGGGUGAGGCUGUAGCUCUUUCUGCUCUGCAGUGGGGUGGGGGUUGGCGUGGGGAGGCAGAGACCGGGCACCUGUCUCUUCUUGAAGCCCCUCAGCCCCAAGCCCCCAGUGCCCUCCACUGGGACCCCUUCGGCUUCCUCCCCCGAUCCCGUGCCUUGCUCCCCAGCCAGGUGGAGCUGGGAGGAGGCUCGGGUCCGGAAUGGUCCAUGUGGCCCCAACCUUGUGCGCAGGGGCCACCACAUGGGGGUAGAGUCCUCCUGGCUUCUGGGACCACGGGUUCCCUGGGGCCUGUGCCAAGGCUGCUGCCCCGAUCCGGGCUUUCCGGGUGACAUCCUGGCUGUGUGCUGCUGGGUGGGCGUGUCCCCUGGCCUUUCAGCCUGGCACCCCACCCAACCUGCCCUGCUGGCGUCCUGGGCGGGGCUGAGUGUGUGGUGGGAGUCCCAGGAGGGGAGCAUCCUCAGAUCCUGCCAGCCUCAGGCCGCCUGGCUUACCUGAGCGCCUCGGAUGUUCGCUCCGAGCAGCCGUCGCCCGAACCCCGUUGCAGAUGAGGGAGCGGAGGCUCAGCAAAGUGAGGUGGCCCCUCGACACACAGAGGCGUCCUCGCUCAACGGGGCUGGCCUUCCCGGGUGUCCGGGGGCCAACCUUCCAGGACACUGAGCAGAAAGGAGCUGCGGGCGACAUUGGGCGAGGCCUCCCCUCGGCAGGCUGGCCGGGCCUCCCCCCAGCCCAGAGGGUCUGCCCCAGGAGUCUCCAAGGUCAUUUGAGGAGACCUGCCUCCACGGCUCUGCCGUCCGGGCGGCGCGGAGGGCGGCCGGACUGUUUUCAGCCCACACCUGCCGUCCCCCUCCCCCGCGUGUCCUACUUUCUGAGAGCCGCUGCGGCGAGGCUGUCUGCACAUACCCAGGACUGUGAGAGCCAGGCCCCCGGGAAGGGGCAGCUGGCCCCAUAGGGGGUCCCCGGAGCCCUGGGUCUGGGUAGUAAUUGGGAGAGAGUGAUGCUCUGGGGGGGGACGGGGCGGGUCCCCGGGGAGACUGGGGUGGAUGCUGCAGACCUCACGGGGGCUGUCCCGGUCCUGCCCUCGGACCAGCCGGCAGCUGGCUCAGUUCUAGCCCCGCCACGUACUGCCUGUGUGUCCCCGAGCAGGUGACAUGCCUCUCUGGACCUCAGGUUCCCCCUGGGUGGCACAGACGACGGUGCAGCCGAGGUGGCGAGGGGCACAGAGGACCGGCGGGCCACCGGUGUGGAAUGUGGAUCUGUGGGCUUUGUGUGGACACCUUUUGGUGGGGCUGGUUCACUUCUCUUCGCUUUCACGUAACAGGCGGAACGAUGCCCUUCUCACGGGGUGUGUCCUCCAUCAGUGGGGAUCCUCUGUGCCCUUCCCCGGGGAUCACUCGAUGAGCCCAUUCUUCCGGGAGUACCCGGUGGGCUUCGCCUGGACUUGGUGGCCGCAGAGUGAGUAGGUGACACAGUCCCUGCUUUUAGGUAGCAAAGUUAGAGCGCCCGAGGAAAGGGAGACAAGAGCUGGGGAAGUCAGGGAGGGCUUCCUGGAGGAGGCCAGACCUUAACGUUCAGGAGGAUUCGGGAAGCAGGUGGGGCAGGCAGGACUAUAGAGACACACCUGGUGGGGGGGGGGUGGUGUGAGCGAAGAGCACGCAGCAGCACAGGGCAGGUUGUGAGCUUCUGAGAGGCACAGGAGGGCAUCUAGGUCAAGGCCCAGAGAGGCCCCAGUCCUGGAGCCCUGGUGUGGGAGGGGGGUGGGGAGUUGUCUCUCGGGGAGGCUCAGAGUUGAGGGUGUGUCCAGGUGUCACCAGCUCUGGGGUCUGCAGCCCCGGCUCCCUGGACAGGAGACGCACGUCCUCCAUGGAGCCGGUGGCCUCCGCUGGGCCCCACAGGGAGCCUUCCAGCCGCAGGCCUGCUCUGGCCUCCUCGUCACCGUCACCGUCACCGUCACCGAGGGAGGCUUUAAAAUCUCAGCCUCGAAUUAAAGCCUAUGAGUGCUUCAAAACAAUAAAAAAUUUCCCUAAUAAAAGAGGAGGCGCA